rnacentral:rRNA from 1 species
CUUGAACGCUGGCGGCAGGCCUAACACAUGCAAGUCGAACGAGUGGCGGACGGGUGUGUAAUGUCUGGGAAACUGCCUGAUGGAGGGGGCUAACUACUGGAAACGGUAGCUAACACCGCACACCAUCAGAUGUGCCCAGAUGGGAUUAGCUUGUUGGUGGGGUAACGGCUCACCAAGGCGACGAUCCCUAGCUGGUCUGAGAGGAUGACCGGCCACACUGGAACUGAGACACGGUCCAGACUCCUACGGGAGGCAGCAGUAGGGAAUAUUGCGCAAUGGGCGCAAGCCUGAUGGAGCCAUGCCGCGUGAGUGAAGAAGGCCUUCGGGUUGUAAAGUACUUUCAGCGGGGAGGCGUUACCCACAGAGAAAGCACCGGCUAACUCCGUGCCAGCAGCCGCGGUAAUAC